CCUACGGGGCGCAGCAGUGAGGAAUAUUGGUCAAUGGCCGGAAGGCUGAACCAGCCAAGCCGCGUGAAGGACGAAGGUGCCAAGCAUUGUAAACUUCUUUUGUCAAGGGACAAAAUCAGGCUCGAGAGCCUGACCGAGGGUACUUGAAGAAAAAGCAUCGGCUAACUCCGUGCCAGCAGCCGCGGUAAUACGGAGGAUGCGAGCGUUAUCCGGAUUUAUUGGGUUUAAAGGGUGCGUAGGCGGGCUGUUAAGUCAGCGGUAAAAGCCCGGGGCUCAACCCCGGGCCGGCCGUUGAAACUGGGGAGCUGGAGUGGGCGAGAAGUAUGCGGAAUGCGUGGUGUAGCGGUGAAAUGCAUAGAUAUCACGCAGAACUCCGAUUGCGAAGGCAGCAUACCGGCGCCCGACUGACGCUGAGGCACGAAAGCGUGGGGAUCGAACAGGAUUAGAUACCCCAGUAGUC
rnacentral:rRNA from 1 species